rnacentral:rRNA from 1 species
AUGCACGCUGGCGGCGUGCCUAAUCCAUGCAAGUCGCGCGAACAGACGAGGAGCUUGCUCCUCUGACGUUAGCGGCGGACGGGUGAGUAACACGUGGAUAACCUACCUAUAAGACUGGGAUAACUUCGGGAAACCGGAGCUAAUACCGGAUAAUAUAUUGAACCGCAUGGUUCAAUAGUGAAAGACGGUUUUGCUGUCACUUAUAGAUGGAUCCGCGCCGCAUUAGCUAGUUGGUAAGGUAACGGCUUACCAAGGCAACGAUGCGUAGCCGACCUGAGAGGGUGAUCGGCCACACUGGAACUGAGACACGGUCCAGACUCCUACGGGAGGCAGCAGUAGGGAAUCUUCCGCAAUGGGCGAAAGCUUGACGGAGCAACGCCGCGUGAGUGAUGAAGGUCUUCGGAUCGUAAAACUCUGUUAUUAGGGAAGAACAAAUGUGUAAGUAACUAUGCACGUCUUGACGGUACCUAAUCAGAAAGCCACGGCUAACUACGU